UCAGCUAUGUCCUUAGAAUCCCCUUCAACUCCUCCACAUGCCAAAACUUCAAAGGCCCUCCCAAAACCCCCCAAAUGGACAUCACCCAGAUCCCAUGUUGCCAAACCCUCUUGUCCCUCUAUGGAGUUGCCCUUGCCCAACACCUCAAAGAAACCACACUCUUCCAGCUCCCCAACCUCUCCACCUCAAACUCAUGCCUCGUCAACUUCCAGUCCAAGCUCACCUCCCUCUCCCUCCCUCCCUCUUUGGUCUCCUACUGCUUUGACCCUUCCCAGUUUGUCAUCACCCCCAACAUCUGCGCCCACAUCGAGUCCUCCCAAGACUGGCUCCUCCAAGCUCAACGGCACCACCGCUCUCGACUCUGCCUGCCGCCCUGACCUCACUGAUCUCUCCUCCUGCGACGCCUGCGUCGCCGCCGGCUUCAAGAUUCAGCAGCAGCUCAUCCUCGUUGAUGGUAACUCUUCUCACUCUAGAGACUGUUGGUACUUUACUAUUCUUUAUGCUGCUGGUAUCAUCAAUGAGUUUGGACCUGAGAGCAAUGGCGCUGUGUCUUGCAUUUUCGGUUUGUCAAUGGAUUCUCGUGUGGACUCUCCCAAGAAGAGCAACACAGCUCUUGUUUUCGGCCUCACCGGUGCUGGUGUUGCUGUGUUUGUUAUGUCUAGCUUGUUGGGGUUGUACUUUUGGUAUGACAGGAGGUGGAGGAACAAAAGGGUUGUUGGGUCCAGAAUGGAUUCUGGUUUUGAUUUGGAUGAAAGAGAGUCUAGGAUUAGAGUUAGACCCAACACGGGUUCCAUUUGGUUUAAGAUUCAGGACCUUGAGAAGGCUACUAAUAACUUUUCGCAGAAGAAUUUCAUUGGCCGGGGUGGAUUUGGUCUUGUUUACAAGGGUGUUCUACCCGAUGGAACUACUGUUGCUGUUAAGAAAGUUAUUGAGUCUGAUUUUCAAGGGGAUGCUGAGUUCUGCAAUGAGGUUGAGAUUAUUAGCAAUUUGAAGCAUCGGAAUCUGGUUCCGCUUAGAGGGUGUUGUGUGGUUGAGGGGGAGGACAAUUAUGAAGAGAGGGGAAGUAACAGGUACCUUGUAUAUGAUUACAUGCCGAAUGGAAAUCUGGAUGACCAUCUAUUUCUUUCUCUGUCUAGUAGUCAGAGUGGAAUUGAAAGGAGGCCCUUGACUUGGCCUCAGAGGAAGGGCAUAAUCUUGGAUGUGGCCAAGGGACUAGCUUAUUUGCAUUAUGGAGUGAAGCCUGCAAUAUAUCACCGAGAUAUUAAGGCAACAAACAUACUACUAGAUGCAGAUAUGAGAGCAAGAGUGGCAGAUUUUGGGCUUGCGAAGCAAAGUAUGGAAGGCCAGUCUCAUCUAACAACUCGAGUGGCAGGGACUCAUGGGUACUUGGCCCCUGAAUAUGCUCUUUAUGGACAGCUUACCGAGAAGAGUGAUGUUUAUAGCUUUGGAGUUGUUGUCUUGGAGAUUAUGUGUGGGAGAAAAGCUCUCGAUCUGUCUUCCUUGGGAUCCCCGCAAGCAUUCUUGAUCACGGAUUGGGCUUGGCAAUUAAUAAAAUCUGGAAAAGUUGAAGAGGCCUUAGAAAAAUCACUGUUGAAAGAGGGGGACAGUGUCAAUUCAAAUCCAAAGAGCAUAAUGGAAAGAUUUUUGCUUGUUGGGAUUUUGUGUGCUCAUGUAAUGGUUGCUCUGAGGCCUACUAUUUUGGAUGCACUGAAAAUGUUGGAAGGGGAUAUUGAGGUGCCACCAAUUCCAGAUAGGCCAAUGCCUCUUGGUCACCCUUCAUGUUAUGGCGACGGUAAUACUUUCAGUAUAUCACCAGCUUUGAGCGGACCAAGAUUACAUAGUGGAGACAUGCUCAGGUUUCUCAGAGAGUGAAAAAUAGAGGGGUUAGUUGGAAUGACUAGCCCAUGGUUCUCUCCUGUCAGGUCCAAUUUCGGACCCCCUCACAUGGUUCUCUACUCUUUCUUGUGCCAAACACUAGACUGGAAUGUCCUACAAUCUGAUGAGAGGGUGAUUACAAUAUGGAGUUGCUACUCUUUGCUGAAUGCACCAAAAGGUCUUUAUCUCCA